GACGAACGCUGGCGGCGUGCCUAAUACAUGCAAGUUGAGCGAUGAAGAUUGGUGCUUGCACCAAUUUGAAGAGCAGCGAACGGGUGAGUAACGCGUGGGGAAUCUGCCUUUGAGCGGGGGACAACAUUUGGAAACGAAUGCUAAUACCGCAUAACAACUUUAAACAUAAGUUUUAAGUUUGAAAGAUGCAAUUGCAUCACUCAAAGAUGAUCCCGCGUUGUAUUAGCUAGUUGGUGAGGUAAAGGCUCACCAAGGCGAUGAUACAUAGCCGACCUGAGAGGGUGAUCGGCCACAUUGGGACUGAGACACGGCCCAAACUCCUACGGGAGGCAGCAGUAGGGAAUCGUCGGCAAUGGACGAAAGUCUGGCCGAGCAACGCCGCGUGAGUGAAGAAGGUUUUCGGAUCGUAAAACUCUGUUGGUAGAGAAGAACGUUGGUGAGAGUGGAAAGCUCAUCAAGUGACGGUAACUACCCAGAAAGGGACGGCUAACUACGUG
rnacentral:rRNA from 1 species